CGCAUCUGUGCAUGCAGCAUAUCAAUAAGCGGAGGAAAAGAAACUAACAAGGAUUCCCCUAGUAACGGCGAGUGAAGCGGGAAGAGCUCAAAUUUGAAAUCUUAAAGGGUUUCCCUUUACGAAUUGUAGUUUAAAGAAGUGUUUUCUGUUGAGGUUUUGGUAAAAGUUCUUUGGAAUAGGACAUCAUAGAGGGUGAGAAUCCCGUAUUUGACCUUUACUUUCAACUUUGUGAUACACUUUCAAAGAGUCGGAUUGUUUGGGAAUGCAGUCCAAAAUGGGUGGUAAAUUUCAUCUAAAGCUAAAUAUUGGCGAGAGACCGAUAGCGAACAAGUACCAUGAGGGAAAGAUGAAAAGAACUUUGAAAAGAGAGUUAAACAGUACGUGAAAUUGUCAAAAGGGAAGCGUUUGACACCAGUGUUGUUUUUCUGAAAAUCAAUUAAAGAACUGUUUAUGCUAAGUUGUUUAGACUUUAUCAGCUAACUGUUUAGUUUUGAGCUUUUCUUUAAUGCACUUUUCAGUUAACAAGUCAACAUCAAUUUCUUUUGCUGUAAAAAAGCUUGAGGAAGGUGGCUUGAGAUUCGUCUUAAGUGUUUAUAGCCUCUUGCCUAUGCAGUCGGAGAGAUUGAGGUCUGCAGCGUAGAUCCUUCGGGGCUAAAUGCAUUUGUGCUAAGUUAUAGCAUUUUAUAGACAACUUGUUGACUAUGAUUUGUCUUGUAGCUUACUCGCUUAUGUUAUUUUACCUACGCUUAGGAUGUUGAACGCGCACAGAGUCUC
rnacentral:rRNA from 1 species